GUUGUUCAUAAGUUUGAAGAAGUUCUUCUCGAAAGCAGUCUUGGCUUGUUGUCGCAUUUUGGUGUUGAACUCAACGUAGGGUUUCAUGAAAGCCUCUUGUUGGAACUCUAAUACUUUAUGUAUUUUUUUCAAUUUUAGACCGAGUUGGAGAUACAGUUGCAGGUUGCGAUAGUGAAGUACAUAAUUCUGUUUGUUUUCUAAAGUGGUGCGGACUUGGAGAGAGCGGUGUUCUUGCAGUAGAAGAUGGUGUAGAUAGCUGACUGUAGCUGUGCUCGUUCUGAAGUUGUGAAGUGGUGAGAAGUCCUGUUGUAUGAUCUACAUUGCUUGUUGAAGAGGAGCUUUGGGUGUCGCUGCUUGGAGGUCGAAAGACAAUCAACGUCUGAGAGGGAAAUAUGUUGGUGCGCAAUUUAUACAACUUGUUUGAAUGUGGGCUUACAUCAACGACAGCAAGACUUUGCGAUCGACACUCUACUCUGUCAAAUGGAUAUUUAGCUGUGCUGUUUUUCAACAACUCUGCAUGAGCUACAAUAAGAGCUGGAUUGACUCUUACCUUCUUUGCUAUUCGCUUUUCGCUUGAUUUACAAUUUGCUGUGUGGGGGAAGUCACGUUCAAUGUCAAGUCACUGCUCUCAGCGGAAGCCUUAUGAGAUCAUCCGGGGAUAUCGCCAUAUUGAAAACCCGCCAGAGGUUUGGUCCACGUCCAUGGUGCUCGGGAUGAGUCAUUGGAGGACGAAGAUCGGGUGUCCUUAUGCUGCCAUGAAAUGUCGUUUUUAUGAUGUCCAAUUAUGUUCAAAAAUAAACAACUUGGAGAAUGUG